rnacentral:rRNA from 1 species
UACGUAGGGGGCGAGCGUUGUCCGGAUUCAUUGGGCGUAAAGAGCUCGUAGGCGGUUCAGUAAGUCAGGUGUGAAAUCUCCGCGCUCAACGCGGAGCGGCCACCUGAUACUGCUGUGACUCGAGUCCGGUAGGGGAGUGUGGAAUUCCACGUGUAGCAGUGAAAUGCGUAGAGAUGUGGAGGAACACCGAUGGCGAAGGCGGCUUCCUGGUCCAGCACCGACGUUCAGGCACGAAAGCGUGGGGAGCAAACAGG